AGUGAACGCUGGCGGUAGGCCUAACACAUGCAAGUCGAACGGCAGCACAGUAAGAGCUUGCUCUUACGGGUGGCGAGUGGCGGACGGGUGAGGAAUACAUCGGAAUCUACUUUUUCGUGGGGGAUAACGUAGGGAAACUUACGCUAAUACCGCAUACGACCUACGGGUGAAAGCAGGGGAUCUUCUGACCUUGCGCGAUUGAAUGAGCCCAUGUCGGAUUAGCUAGUUGGCGGGGUAAAGGCCCACCAAGGCGACGAUCCGUAGCUGGUCUGAGAGGAUGAUCCGCCACCUUGGAACUGAGACACGGCCCAGACUCCUACGGGAGGCAGCAGUGGGGAAUAUUGGACAAUGGGCGCAAGCCUGAUCCAGCCAUACCGCGUGGGUGAAGAAGGCCUUCGGGUUGUAAAGCCCUUUUGUUGGGAAAGAAAAGCAGCAGGUUAAUACCCCGCUGUUCUGACGGUACCCAAAGAAUAAGCACCGGCUAACUUCGUG
rnacentral:rRNA from 1 species